rnacentral:rRNA from 1 species
GGAUUAGAUACCCUGGUAGUCCACGCCGUAAACGAUGUGUGCUAGCUGUUUGAUAGUAUUCUAUUGAGUGGCUGAGCUAACGUAUUAAGCACACCGCCUGGGGAGUACGGCCGCAAGGUUAAAACUCAAAGGAAUUGACGGGGGCCCGCACAAGUGGUGGAGCAUGUGGUUUAAUUCGAUGAUACGCGAGGUACCUUACCUGUUCUUGACAUAUAUAUUUUAGGACCUGGAGACAGGCCUUUCGGUUCGGCCGGGUAUAUACAGAUGUUGCAUGGCUGUCGUCAGCUCGUGCCG